rnacentral:rRNA from 1 species
UACGUAUGGGGCAAGCGCUAUCCGGAUUUACUGGGUGUAAAGGGAGCGCAGGCGGCCUGGCAAGCCUGAUGUGAAAUACCGGGGCCCAACCCCGGGGCUGCAUUGGGAACUGCCAGGCUGGAGUGCCGGAGAGGCAGGCGGAAUUCCUAGUGUAGCGGUGAAAUGCGUAGAUAUUAGGAGGAACACCAGUGGCGAAGGCGGCCUGCUGGACGGUGACUGACGCUGAGGCUCGAAAGCGUGGGGAGCAAACAGG